rnacentral:rRNA from 1 species
CCUACGGGAGGCAGCAGUAGGGAAUCUUUCACAAUGGGCGAAAGCCUGAUGGAGCAACGCCGCGUGCAGGAUGAAGGCCUUCGGGUUGUAAACUGCUUUUAUAAGCGAGAAAUAUGAUGGUAACUUAUGAAUAAGGAUCGGCUAACUACGUUCCAGCAGCCGCGGUCAUACGUAGGAUCCGAGCAUUAUCCGGAGUGACUGGGUGUAAAGAGUUGCGUAGGUGGCAUAAUAAGUAGCUAGUGAAAUCUGGUGGCUCAACCAUUCAGACUAUUAGCUAAACUGUUAAGCUCGAGACCGUUAGGGGUAACUGGAAUUUCUAGUGUAGGAGUGAAAUCCGUAGAUAUUAGAAGGAACACCAAUAGCGUAGGCAGGUUGCUGGGACGGUUCUGACACUAAGGCACGAAAGCGUAGGGAGCAAACGGGAUUAGAUACCCGUGUAGUC